CCUUAUUCCAAGUAAGUAUUCUCAUUUACAAGGUCAGAUUUACAACCUGGUCAACCUAUUGUUGGCCAGGUUUUCUUCAUUCCAGAGGCAUUUAUCUGGUAUUUAGCUAUCUCCUGUUUGUUUGUUUUAUUAAGGAUUUCACUAAGCCUAGUUAACGUGUUUGCAUGGUGUCUGUUGAUCUGUUUGUCUAGUUUCCUUUGUAAUUCUUUGUGCUAGUGAAAGCAAGCUGAGCAGUAGAUUUAAAAGAAUCAUUUCCAUAACUCAUUAUUUCUCUGGGUCUGGGUUUCCUUUCUGGAAGGUAUGAUCAUGCUACACUGAGAAGUCAAAUGUUGUUUGCUGCUUACACAGACCGUGUUAAGGCUUUGGGACUUUGUUCUUCCAGAUAGUUGUAAGCUGACACUGAGGAAUGGUGCUCUCAAUAUAAUGAUAGCUGUGCCUGAAUCAGUUGAACACAAGAAUAACUUUUCUUCAUACCUUAAAGACUCACCCUAAAUUGAUUUUUCACACCAAUUAAAGUUAACUAAAAUUAGGGUGUUAGGUAGAGUUACCAUGCUAAGUAGGUUACCUAGCUGCUGUAGUAAGGUUAUGCUUGGAAGUCCAACUGCUUUCCAUCCCUAAGUUCAACCAUUUGUUCUAGGAAUUUGGAGUACCUACUAUGUGUUCUCCCUAUGGAGAACAUACAAACCAAACAAUACAUGAUUCCUGCCCUCAGAUUACAUUCAGUCUGGAGAGAGAGACAGAUAAGUACAGCAGGUCCUAGCUUAUUCUUACCCGUGCUUCCUUGGCCUGUAUGUUUUGGUUGAGGGUUCAGACUGGAAAUGGCAGAAUUGAUGGAUGUAUCACUAGGCAAGGAGACCUAUUUGCGUAUCUGACUUCCAGUGUUCCAAUUUGGUUUUGGCCUUCCUUCCUUCUCUUCCUUUCUUCUGCCUGUUAUCUAGAUUUUCUUCUCUAUUGCUGACGUGUCCAGCAGCCAGUGUGUAAAGUCAAGAACCUUAGGGUAGGGACAGCAUUGUCCUUCAGGUUUGGGUGUCCAGACAUCUGCCUAGUGCUUUCCCUAUUCUUCUCACAUCAGUUCUUUGGCUGGUUUCCAGAAAGGGUUGAUAUUGUCUAGCUUCUUAUUUAGGAAUGAAGAAAAUUGUUUCAUAUUAAAUUAAAUUUUAUACUCAGUUUUGAAAUAAAAUAGCUAUUUUGCUUGCAAAUGGAAUUAUUUAAGGUGUGGUUUCUGGCAUUUUUUUGACUAUGCUGCACAGCCUGUGGGAUCUUAGUUCCCGAGCAGUUAUUGAACCCAGGCCCUCAGCAGUGAGAGCAUGGAGUCCUAGCCACUGGACCGCCAGGGUUUCCCAUUUGGUCAGUUUUUGACUUACUAAUUAUGACUAAACUGUGGUUCUUGAAGCCCAUUGCUGCUAUCUCUGCCAGCCUUCUUUGAAUGCUUUGCAGCAUGGAGCCCUAGGAAAUGGAGGGAACGUUGAGGUUACCCUGUCUUGAAGGGCUCUUCCUCUUCCCUUGUCCCUAUUCUCAAAAAAAAAGUGUUAUUUGGGAUGCUGUGUUGUGCUCAUGAUUUCUUCCAACAAUUUCGCAUUGCCUGGGAGGUCUAGAAGAAGAGGAAAUACGCCUGUGUUCGUCCUCAAAGGUUGGGGACAAUAUUGAGAUCAAUUUGGCCAAACUGUAUGGAGCCCACUGAGUCCUCCCUUGGUGCUGUGAGGGAUGAAAAUGUGUAAAGCAUACUCUUGUCUUCAGGGAACCUGUGGUCUCUUUGGGGAGACAAGGUAAUCAUGAAGUUGUAGCUGAUAAUAAGGCAGUUUGGUGUAGAGAGCUUGGUUUGGAAGACUAAGGUCUUACUCUUGUUCCCUGGAACUAAUUUGGCCAGGAAAACUGGAAUAAGUCAUUUUCCCCUCUCUGAACCUCCAUAUUCUCAUCUAUAAAAUGGGGUUAAUAAUCUGUAUCUUGCCUUCCUCACAGUGUUAUUGUGAAGAGCAAGUUAGAUGUUACUAAAAGUGCAUUAUAAAACCAGAUGAUGCAAUUUAUAUGUGAAGAAUUCAUGAGUCAUUUGUUAGAGGUAAUAGGUAAAUAGCAGAGUUUUCUAUAGAAGGGGAGAUCUCUUUGGGCUGGGGUGAUCAGGAAGAGUGGUCUGGACCAGUCUUGGGAUUGGGAGAAAGAAUGCUAGAAGCAUUUAGACAGAGGCAAUGAUGGAGCAAAGGACUAUAGGCAGAACUGUUAAGGGGCAGCAGUGAGUGUUUUAGGUUUAGUAGUUAUUGACAAACAGUUUUCAGAAGCAUACCAGAUCAAACUCUCAUCAGCUAUGUAUGAGAGAAUUCCUUUUGCUCCAUGUCCUUGUCAACAGUUAGCAUUAUCUUUUUAUUUUAUGUCAUUCUUGUUGGAGUGUAGUUAGAGAAGUGAAUUGUAAGAACCACGAUAGGAACUCAGGUGGUACCAUACAGGGGUAAAGUGAUUGGUAAGUUCAGAGGAGGGAGAGAUUGCUUCAUUUGUGGGUGUGUGGUGCCUAGGGAACAUCUAUGGAGGACUGAGCAUUUGAGCUGGGCCUUGUAGGAUAAGGACAGUGACCAUGUAUUAUCUAGGACCAUCCCAAUGUCUAAUAUUCUGUCUUGCUGUGCUUAUAAAUUAUGAAACACCAAUAUUUUUAUGUCUUGGCCAAAUCUCACAGACUACCCAGAAGCAGCGCCCGGAUAUCUUUUCUCAGUUGCAGUGCUUCUCUCUCCUCCCACUUUGUUUCCAGAAAGUAUGAUCACAGGAGAUUUAGGCUCCAGAGAUGGAGAGAGGACAUUCUGUGCAACGGGAACAACUUGAGCGGAAACACAGAUGAGCAACUAGAUCAAGCGGCAUCCAUAUUCCAGCUAAUGAGCAGAGUGGGGAGGACAUGUCCCAUAAUUUGGGGGUUGGUGAUACCUUCUCAUAGUCUCCUGGAGCAGGUGGAAAAGGUGGCCACCAUGUCCUUGAAGAUCCAGACAAGCAACGUAACCAACAAGAAUGACCCCAAAUCCAUCAACUCUCGGGUUUUCAUCGGAAACCUCAACACAGCUGUGGUGAAGAAGUCUGAUGUGGAGACCAUCUUCUCCAAGUAUGGCCGUGUGGCCGGCUGUUCUGUGCACAAGGGCUAUGCCUUUGUCCAGUAUGCCAAUGAGCGCCAUGCCCGGGCAGCUGUGCUGGGAGAGAAUGGGCGGGUGCUGGCUGGGCAGACCCUGGACAUCAACAUGGCUGGAGAGCCAAAGCCCAACAGACCCAAGGGGCUAAAGAGAGCAGCAUCUGCCAUAUACAGUGGCUACAGCUUUGACUAUGAUUACUACCGGGACGACUUCUACGCCAGGCCAUGCUGCAGCCUCUGGCCCGUUUGCUCUCACAGGCUCUUCGACUAUCGGGGCCGCCUGUCACCAGUGCCAGUGCCCAGGGCAGUCCCUGUGAAGCGACCCCGGGUCACAGUCCCCUUGGUCCGACGUGUCAAAACCACCAUACCUGUCAAGCUCUUUGCCCGCUCCACAGCCAUCACCACCACCGGCUCAGCCAAGAUCAAGUAUAAAGGAACAAAUCUCCCACAGUUCUGCAGCUCUAAUACAACCAAUAAAGAGCAGUGAGCUGCGUACCAUCAAGACAGAGCUGGCCCAGAUCAAGUCCAACAUCGAUGCCUUGCUGGGUCGCUUGGAGCAGAUUGCCGAGGCACAGAAGUCCAAUCCAGAUGGCAAAAAGAAGGGCGAGAGUGGCAGUGGCAGUGGCAGCGCCAUCGGCAGUGGCAGUGGCAGUAGUGGUGGCAGCAGCCGGCCACCGGCCCCCCAAGAGGACACAGCUGCUGAGGCAAGCAUGCCCCAGGGAGAAGCAAAGG